rnacentral:rRNA from 1 species
GACGAACGCUGGCGGCGUGCCUAAUACAUGCAAGUAGAACGCUGAAGGAGGAGCUUGCUUCUCUGGAUGAGUUGCGAACGGGUGAGUAACGCGUAGGUAACCUGCCUGGUAGCGGGGGAUAACUAUUGGAAACGAUAGCUAAUACCGCAUAAGAGUAGAUGUUGCAUGACAUUUGCUUAAAAGGUGCAAUUGCAUCACUACCAGAUGGACCUGCGUUGUAUUAGCUAGUUGGUGAGGUAACGGCUCACCAAGGCGACGAUACAUAGCCGACCUGAGAGGGUGAUCGGCCACACUGGGACUGAGACACGGCCCAGACUCCUACGGGAGGCAGCAGUUGGGAAUCUUCGGCAAUGGACGGAAGUCUGACCGAGCAACGCCGCGUGAGUGAAGAAGGUUUUCGGAUCGUAAAGCUCUGUUGUAAGAGAAGAACGAGUGUGAGAGUGGAAAGUUCACACUGGACG